GAUGAACGCUGGCGGCGUGCCUAAUACAUGCAAGUCGAGCGAACAGACGAGGAGCUUGCUCCUCUGACGUUAGCGGCGGACGGGUGAGUAACACGUGGAUAACCUACCUAUAAGACUGGGAUCACUUCGGGAAACCGGAGCUAAUACCGGAUAAUAUAUUGAACCGCAUGGUUCAAUAGUGAAAGACGGUUUUGCUGUCACUUAUAGAUGGAUCCGCGCCGCAUUAGCUAGUUGGUAAGGUAACGGCUUACCAAGGCAACGAUGCGUAGCCGACCUGAGAGGGUGAUCGGCCACACGGGAACUGAGACACGGUCCAGACUCCUACGGGAGGCAGCAGUAGGGAAUCUUCCGCAAUGGGCGAAAGCCUGACGGAGCAACGCCGCGUGAGUGAUGAAGGUCUUCGGAUCGUAAAACUCUGUUAUUAGGGAAGAACAAAUGUGUAAGUAACUAUGCACGUCUUAACGGUACCUAAUCAGAAAGCCACGGCUAACUACGUG
rnacentral:rRNA from 1 species